UUAUUUAUUAGUAAUUAAAGUUAUAAAGAAGAAUUAAUAGUGUUUAAGUAAAUUUAUUAAAAUAAUUGAUUAAAUUUAAACUGAGUAGUAAUGUAAGUGAAAAAUAAAAUUUGCAGAUUAAGUGAAAAAAGAUAUAUUUAAUUAAUAGUACCUUUUGUAUCAGGGGUUAUUAAAUUUAGUUAUUUAUUUAUAUAAAUAAUCUCGAAAUAAAAUGAGUUAAAUAAGUAAAAAUAUAAUAGUUAAUGUGGAAAAAUUAUUUAGAAUAUUUAUUUAGUAAAGAUAAUUUAAUCGAUUUUUAUGAUAUCUAGUUUUUUUUGAUAUAAAUUUAAUUUAUAUAUAAAUAUUUUUUAAAUUAAUUAAAAUAAUUAUUGAUUAUUUUUAAUUAAUAAAGUUUAUAUAAAAAAUUUAUGGGAUUAUCUAUAAAUUGUGAUUAAAAUUUUUUUUAUUAAUAGCUUAAAAAAAUAUUUUUAAUAUUAGAAAUUUUUGUGGAAAAUUUAAUAAUUUAUAAUAAUUUAAUUAUAAAUAAUAAUGAUUUGAGAUUAAAUGAUUUUAAAAUUAGUAUUUAAUUAUUUAAAAAAAUAUUUUAAUAAAUUAUUUAUUUAAAUAAAUAAUGAUAAUAUUAGUAUAAAUAAAUUAUAUAUAUAUGUAUAUAUUAUGUGAAAUUUAUAAAGAUAUAUAAGAUUAAAGAAUUAGGCAAAAAUUUUUUAAAGAAAAAAAUUUAAUUCACCUGUUUAUCAAAAACAUGGUUUUUUGAUUAAUAAUUAAAAAUUAGUUCUGCUCAAUGAUUAAAUAUUAAAUAGCCGCAGUAUUAUGACUGUGCAAAGGUAGCAUAAUCAAUUGUUUUUUAAAUGAAAACUGGAAUGAAGGAAUUGAUGAAAUUAGAACUGUUUCAAUAAAUAAAUUUAAAAUUUAGAUUUUAAGUUAAAAUUCUUAAGAGAAAUUAUGGGACGAGAAGACCCUAUAGAAUUUAAUAUAAAGUUUAUAAAUAUUUAAGGAAUAAAUGAAUUUUUUAAAUUUUUAUAUUUUAUUGGGAGGAUAAUUAAAUAUAAAUAACUUUAAUUUUUAAGAUUUAUAUUAAACCAUAGUCAAUGAAAUUUUAUUUAAAGAUUAAUUAUUAAUAAAGUAUAUAUUUAUUUUAAAAAAUUAAUAAUUAUUAUAAGAAUUAAUUACCUUAGGGAUAACAGCGUAAUAUUUUUAAAAAGAUCAUAUUUAUAAAAAUGAUUGCGACCUCGAUGUUGAAUUAAAAUAAAAAUUAAAUGGAGAAGUUUAAUAUUUUAGUCUGUUCGACUAUUAAAAUUUUACAUGAUUUGAGUUCAGAUCGGCGUGAGCCAGAUCGGUUUCUAUCUAUAAUAAAAUGGUAAAAAUUUUGUACGAAAGGACUUUUUUUUAAAAUUAUAUUUUUAUAAAGAAUAAGAUUA
rnacentral:rRNA from 1 species